UCACCUGCCUGCGUGGAGGUGAAACAGAAGGCGUCGUAGCGGUCGCGCUUCCGGUCGCGGGGCCCAUAGCUGCGGAUCCCCGGCCGACCGUGGCCGCCGCACGGAGCACGCGCGAGCAAGUGCACACACACCUUCAUACUCCUGACAGAGAAUGAGAGAGGGCAGUAACAGCUCCAGCACCUACCUGUUAAAAGCUGGUCUCUUCACAGCGAUGGAGGGAGCAGUGACUGGCAGCUUUUUGUCCUGCUGGAGGAAGAGGUUCCAGGUGAAGGAGUUGCCACUGGGUGGUCCAAGCACCUCAGAGCCCGGGACUUAGGCAUCUGGUCAGUGCAGUCGCGCCUUUUGCACCUUUGAGGAAAGGCUCCUGCCCUGAGCUCACAGAAGAAGCCAAGGGUCCAAGAACUCCACGACCCAUUAUUCCACUGAGCCAGGUUUUCCCCAAGGCACUGCAAAAUAGGAAUCGAAUCAGACUGCGCAGGCUUGAGCUGGCAAGUUUUCACUGAACUAGCAUCUUUUAAAGAGAGGAUUUUGCCACUUCUGCUCCCUACUGACCAGAGGGAGGUGGAAUCAUCCAGAACACGCAUGGAGUCCUGACACCUCUUCCCCUAACAUCACAGGCUCAGCUUACCCCCUCUGGGCACGUUUGGCUAAUUUUCUUCACCCCUGAUGAUGGCAUGAUCCCAGUUUAUUACUGGGAAUGUCACACGAAGGACUGGAAGAGUUGGCACUUUAGGGGAAAAGGCAGGGAGGGAAGACUGCCUGACUCAUACAACACACUCAAUGCAUUUUGGCCCUUAUUAUAGGGGGGAGGGAGAGAGAAACGCCACAGAGAAUAGAAUCAAUCAAAACAGACACUAACUGCUUGAUUUUAAAGGAUCACCUGAUUUUUAAAAAUACAUAAAAAAAUCACACACACAAAAGUUAAUGUCCCACUUAUUUUUUUAUGACAAAAGUAAUACCUACACAUAGUGAAAAAGAACUCAACCACUACUACAGGGAUAAAAUAAAAAGCCAAGUGCUUCUUUCCUUCCUUCCUUCUCACUUCCCCCUAUAACAAUUAAACCAUUGUUAAACUUC